ACGGGAGGCAGCAGUGAGGAAUAUUGGUCAAUGGGCGGAAGCCUGAACCAGCCAAGUCGCGUGAAGGAUGAAGGUAUUAUGUAUUGUAAACUUCUUUAGCUGUGGAGCAAUAAUCUCCAUGUAUGGAGAGAUGAGAGUACACAGAGAAUAAGGAUCGGCUAACUCCGUGCCAGCAGCCGCGGUAAUACGGAGGAUCCGAGCGUUAUCCGGAUUUAUUGGGUUUAAAGGGUGCGCAGGCGGUCUUUUAAGUCAGUGGUCAAAUCGCGGAGCUCAACUCCGUCCCGCCAUUGAUACUGGGAGACUUGAUUGCGGUCGAGGUUGGCGGAAUUCGUCGUGUAGCGGUGAAAUGCAUAGAUAUGACGAAGAACACCGAUUGCGUAGGCAGCUGACCAGGCCGUAAAUGACGCUCAUGCACGAAAGUGCGGGGAUCGAACAGGAUUAGAUACCCUGGUA
rnacentral:rRNA from 2 species